ACGGCGAGUGAAGCGGCAAAAGCUCAAAUUUGAAAUCUAGCACCUUCGGUGUUCGAGUUGUAAUUUGAAGAUGGUAACCUUGGGUUUGGCUCUUGUCUAUGUUCCUUGGAACAGGACGUCAUAGAGGGUGAGAAUCCCGUCUGAUGAGAUGCCCAUUCCUAUGUAAGGUGCUAUCGAAGAGUCGAGUUGUUUGGGAAUGCAGCUCUAAGUGGGUGGUAAAUUCCAUCUAAAGCUAAAUAUUGGCGAGAGACCGAUAGCGAACAAGUACAGUGAUGGAAAGAUGAAAAGAACUUUGAAAAGAGAGUGAAAAAGUACGUGAAAUUGUUGAAAGGGAAGGGGCAUUAGAUCAGACUUGGUGUUUUACGAUUAUCUUCUCUUCUUGAGUUGUGCACUCGUAUUUCACUGGGCCAGCAUCGAUUCGGAUGGCAAGAUAAUGGCAGUUGAAUGUGGCUUCACUUCGGUGGAGUGUUAUAGCUUCUGCUGAUAUUGCCUGUCUGGAUCGAGGGCUGCGUC
rnacentral:rRNA from 1 species